CACCCAGCGGGGCAGGCGCCUGGCGCCGGUCGGAAUUGGAACAGGGGCUGACCAAGUGCCCGCAGGGGAAGCGCAGGGGCCGAAUGUCGGGGGACAUUCGGCCCCUUUUUU
rnacentral:antisense_RNA from 1 species